ACGAACGCUGGCGGCGUGCUUAACCCAUGCCAGUCGCACGGAAAGGCCCUGCUUUUGUGGGGUGCUCGAGUGGCGAACGGGUGAGUAACACGUGAGUAACCUGCCCUUGACUUUGGGAUAACUUCAGGAAACUGGGGCUAAUACCGGAUAGGAGCUCCUGCUGCAUGGUGGGGGUUGGAAAGUUUCGGCGGUUGGGGAUGGACUCGCGGCUUAUCAGCUUGUUGGUGGGGUAGUGGCUUACCAAGGCUUUGACGGGUAGCCGGCCUGAGAGGGUGACCGGCCACAUUGGGACUGAGAUACGGCCCAGACUCCUACGGGAGGCAGCAGUGGGGAAUAUUGCACAAUGGGCGGAAGCCUGAUGCAGCAACGCCGCGUGCGGGAUGACGGCCUUCGGGUUGUAAACCGCUUUCGCCUGUGACGAAGCGUGAGUGACGGUAAUGGGUAAAGAAGCACCGGCUAACUACGU
rnacentral:rRNA from 1 species